UGGGGAAUAUUGUACAANGAGGGAAACCCUGAUGCAGCGACGCCGCGUGAGUGAAGAAGUAUUUCGGUAUGUAAAGCUCUAUCAGCAGGGAAGAAAAUGACGGUACCUGAGUAAGAAGCCCCGGCUAACUACGUGCCAGCAGCCGCGGUAAUACGUAGGGGGCAAGCGUUAUCCGGAUUUACUGGGUGUAAAGGGAGCGCAGACGGCUCUGCAAGUCUGAAGUGAAAGCCCGCGGCUUAACCGCGGGACUGCUUUGGAAACUGCAAGGCUUGAGUAUCGGAGGGGCAGGCGGAAUUCCUAGUGUAGCGGUGAAAUGCGUAGAUAUUAGGAAGAACACCGGUGGCGAAGGCGGCCUGCUGGACGAAAACUGACGUUGAGGCUCGAAGGCGUGGGGAGCAAACAGGAUUAGAUACCCUGGUAGUCCACGCGGUAAACGAUGAAUACUAGGUGUUGGUGCCCGAAGGNCAUCGGUGCCGUCGCAAACGCAAUAAGUAUUUCCACCUGGGGGAGUACGUUCGCAAGAAAUG
rnacentral:rRNA from 1 species